UACAGAGGGGGCAAGCGUUAUUCGGAAUUAUUGGGCGUAAAGGGCGCGUAGGCGGCCAUUCAAGUGACGGGUGAAAGCCCUCGGCUUAACCGAGGAACUGCCUGUCAGACUGGAUGGCUUGAGACCGGGAGAGGUGAGUGGAAUUCCCAGUGUAGCGGUGAAAUGCGUAGAUAUUGGGAGGAACACCAGUGGCGAAGGCGGCUCACUGGACCGGAACUGACGCUGAGGCGCGAAAGCGUGGGAGCAAACAGG
rnacentral:rRNA from 1 species